GAAGACGAACCAGAGGCCGACCGCCGCCACCCGCCGCCACUCGCCGCCGCACCGGGGAAAUUUCCGACCGCCGAUCGAGGUAAAUUUCAUACCCUCGACUCAUUUUUCCCCACUGAUUCCUCCUAUGGCCAAAUCGAAGCCGAAAUCCCGGCCAAACGGCCGGAAUACGGGGCCGAAGCCCAGCGGCGCCGCCGCGCCCCCUCUCGGUUUUUGCC
rnacentral:lncRNA from 1 species